rnacentral:rRNA from 1 species
UACGUAGGGUGCAAGCGUUGUCCGGAAUUAUUGGGCGUAAAGAGCUCGUAGGCGGUUUGUCGCGUCUGCUGUGAAAUCCCGAGGCUCAACCUCGGGUCUGCAGUGGGUACGGGCAGACUAGAGUGUGGUAGGGGAGAUUGGAAUUCCUGGUGUAGCGGUGAAAUGCGCAGAUAUCAGGAGGAACACCAGCGGCGAAGGCGGCGCUCUGGGCCGGAACUGACGCUGAGGCGCGAAAGCGUGGGGAGCAAACAGG